UACAGAGGUUGCAAGCGUUGUUCGGAAUUACUGGGCGUAAAGGGCGCGUAGGCGGUCUUGUCAGUCCCUUGUGAAAUCCCCCGGCUCAACUGGGGAACUGCACGGGAAACAGCAGGGCUUGAGUUCGGGAGAGGGAAGCGGAAUUCCGGGUGUAGCGGUGAAAUGCGUAGAUAUCCGGAGGAACACCGGUGGCGAAGGCGGCUUCCUGGACCGAUACUGACGCUGAGGCGCGAAAGCUAGGGGAGCAAACGGG
rnacentral:rRNA from 1 species